rnacentral:rRNA from 1 species
UACGGGGGGAGCAAGCGUUGUUCGGAUUUACUGGGCGUAAAGGGCGCGUAGGCGGUCAGCACAAGUCAGUUGUGAAAUCUCCGGGCUUAACUCGGAAAGGUCAACUGAUACUGUGCGACUAGAGUGCGGAAGGGGCAACUGGAAUUCUCGGUGUAGCGGUGAAAUGCGUAGAUAUCGAGAGGAACACCUGCGGCGAAGGCGGGUUGCUGGGCCGCCACUGACGCUGAUGCGCGAAAGCCAGGGGAGCGAACGGG